rnacentral:rRNA from 1 species
UACGAAGGGGGCUAGCGUUGUUCGGAAUCACUAGGCGUAAAGGGCGCGUAGGCGGCUGUUCAAGUCGGGGGUGAAAUCCCGUGGCUCAACCACGGAAUGGCCUUCGAUACUGGACGGCUGGAGACCGGAAGAGGUGAGUGGAACUGCGAGUGUAGAGGUGAAAUUCGUAGAUAUUCGCAAGAACACCAGUGGCGAAGGCGGCUCACUGGUCCGGUUCUGACGCUGAGGCGCGAAAGCGUGGGGAGCAAACAGG